CCACGAGACCCGAGACGGCUCGGAUAAGAUGCAGUGUACAACAGUAAAGUACAAGACAUCCGUCAGCGGGCUCUUGGAUGUGACACAAGAAAGUAACGCUUAUCUGGUGAGAGAAGGUCAGGAGGCGGAAACACACACAGUGGUCGAACAUAACUACGGAAAAAUUCGUUCUUACCAUACUUCUGUCACAUUUUCAGAAUGUUUCCUUAAGUAAGAGUGUGAGUACUCUUGCUAUCAUGAGAAAGCAGGCACACACACACACACACACACAGCCGUAGCAGAA